rnacentral:lncRNA from 1 species
GAGAGAAGCUAAUCUUUCCAACUCUUUAGGUUCCCAUCCAUACAUGAAAAGCCUGGCCUGCUGGGCAGCAAGAUGGAUCCUGACUAUAAGCAAGAUCCACUUUUCUACCUAUUUUUUCAUAGGUAGAAAAAAUCUAGGAUAAGUUGUUAGGGAUGUCCUGUGUGUCUAGGAAGGAAGAUCAGGGAAGAGAGAGAAGUCAGGGAAAGAGAAGUAGAGAGAAGGAAGUAGAGAAGAAGUAGAGAGAGGAGAAGCAAGAUCCCCAGGAGCUUCUUACACACACACACACACAAACACACACACACACACACAGAUCCAUUAGAGAAAGUAAAGCCUGCAUCAUUUGUGCACAUGUAUGCAUCAUGGUAAAACCUAGCCCUAUACACACAAGCUCUCAUUUCAUCCUCUUAACAAUCUCGUUACCCCAUUACUGUUUCCAUUUUUCACAAGUGGAAAGAGGUUUCAAGAGUGAUGUGCUUGCUCAAGGUCGUAGCUGGGCUCCAGCACGUUGCUCUCCUCUGUGAUGUUGCACUAUUCAUAAAACACUUAGUGGAGCAUCCAGCACGUUAGAAGAUAUUAGUGUUAUGAUCUUAGUCCUUCCUCCCGAGUAAAUUGUAGAGUACAUUACCAUUGGAAAUCAGAGGACUCAGAUUCUAGAAAGACCUAAUUCUGCUACCAAUUAACUAGAAGCCCUUGGACGGUGGCAACAGCUAAUGCUUGCCUAGGCUCCUUACUGAUCACCAUGCCCCAUCCUGUCUGCCCCUUGAGGGGGUCCCUUAAAGGUGAUGUGGGGAGAGGUCAGUGCCAUCCUGGCUUGCAGAUAAGAAACCUGGGAGACUUGAGCUGCUUACCUUAACAAGGUUUGUGAUAUAGCAGGUCACUGCUCCUCCCUGGGCCUCAGCGUCCCCAUCUGUAAAAUGGGGAGAAGGGCACAUAAGAUGGACAAUUUCUAAACUCCUCCCCCUCAUUUGAAGUUUCUGGAGUGCAAAAGAAAGAGAAAAGGGAGAGGAAGAAAAAAGAGAGACAGAGUGUUAAAGGAGUGGUUUGGAUUUCAGCUUUUAUUUUUUUAGGCCAUAAUGAGAAAAGAUUCAAACCAGAUGUUGUCUUAGUGACUUGCAGUAGCUGAGAGUGGAACUGUGUUGUGAUAAUACCACAUUAGCAUGAAGCAAUAUAUCUAUCAACAGUCCCAGUCAGAGUAAAGCAGUUGGCAUUUCCAGGGACUGAGUCCCCACGCUUGAGUUCAGCGUUUGAAAGGACCUCAGACCCCAACUGGGUUUCCAAACGCUUCCAGGAAGGGCCCAUUCUUCAGACAGUAUCCAACCGCCAGCUCUCACUGGACCCCAGUCACAGGGAAAGGAAGGGACCCCAGCCGCUCACUUGGCGACACAUUUGAGGCAGGCUGGGGAGGCAGGAAGAGCAGCAGCCCAGAAAAGCCAGGCUCAGUGGGGGCCAGUGGAGCGUGGCCCAAACAGCCCAGAGGGCCACAGGCCACAUUGUUAUUACUUUUUAAUUAAAAUGGCGUCUUUCUCCAUUAUUACAAAAGCCAUGUUUGUUUAUUUUAGCAAAAUUAGACAGGGCAGACCAGGAAAAAGAAAAAAUUAAAAACGACUCAUGACCUAGAGAGAACCAUAGUUAAUGCCUGGGCAUAUUCAGAGUCACGAACUAAAUGCUUAUGGGGCCAGGCAGUUGAUAUAAAUGUGAAUUGGGUGGUAGUAAAAUUAAUAUAAAUGUGUGCAUAGGGUGAGUUAAUUUAUAUAAAUAUUAAUACAAAUAUGUGAACUUUGACAUUAAAAAAUCAGGAAUGUCUGAAUCUGUGAAGUAAUGGAGAAUACAAAGUCAGGUGUAAACGAAUUCAAAAGUCAGAGAGAUUUUAAAUAUUGAUUUCCACUUCAGGGGCCACCAGUUUGAAAUCCCUGCUAUGUAUCCUUCUAUAUCUUUAUGUAUGUAUGUAUAUAUGUAAAGAUACACAUAUAUGCAUAUACACACACAUAUACAGAUAAACAUACAUAUAUACAUAUAUGUAUAUAAUACCCCCCACUUAUCCUUGGUUUCUGUUACCUAAGGUCAACCACGGUCCAAAAAUAUUAAAUGGAAAAUUUCAGAAAUAAACAAUUCAUAAGUUUUAAACUGCAUGCCAUUCUCAGUAGUGUGAUGAAAUUAUCCUCUUGUCCAGUAUACCCAUGCUGUACACAGUCCCCGACUGUUAGUUACAUCGUAGUUGGCUCAGGUCUCAGAUCGAAUGUCCUGGUGUUGCAGUGCUUGUGUUCAAGUCACCCUUAUUUUACUUAGCAACAGCCCCAAAGUGCAAGAGUAGUGAUGUUGGGAAUUUGGAUAUGCCAAAGAGAAGCUGUAAAGUGCUUCCUUUAAGUGAAAAGUCAAGAUAAAAGUUCUUGACUUAAUAGGGAAAGAAAAAAGUCAUAUGCCGAGGUUGCUAUGAUCUGUGGUAAGAAAGACUCUUCCAUCUAUGAAAAUGUGAAGAAGGAAAAUGAAAUGUAUGCUAAUUUUGCUGUCAUACCUCAAACUGCAAAAGUUAUGGCCAUAGUAUAUAAUAAGUGCUUGGUUAAAAUGGAAAAGGCAUUACAAUUGUGGGUGGAAGAUAGGAACAGAAAUGAGUUCUGAUUGAUGGUAAUCAGGUUGUUUGGUGCUAGCGGUAGUGUCCGGCAUCCACAGGGGGUCUUAGAAAUUAUCCCUUGAGCCAGGCACAGUGGCUUAUGCCUGUAAUCCCAGCACUUUGGGAGGCUAAGGCAGGUGGAUCAUGAGGUCAAGAGAUCAAGACCAUUCUGGGCAACAUGGUGAAACCCCAUCUCUACUAAAAAUACAAAAGUUAACUGGGCGUGGUGGCGAGCACCCAUAGUCCCAGCUACUCGGGAGGCUGAGGCAGGAGAAUCGCUCGAACCCAGGAGGUGGAGGUUGCAGUGAGCCGAGAUCACGCCACUGCACUCCAGCCUGGUGACACAGUGAGACUCCAUCUCCAAAAAAAAAAAAAAAAAAAAAAAAAAAAGAUAUUAUCCCUUGAGGAUAAGGGGGCACUACUGUACAGCAAGUAUAAUUUUAUGCAUAUACUCAAUAUAAUACUCCAAUAAAAGUGGCAGGAAGAUUGGGGACCAGUAUCUCCACCCCUUCCUCCACCUUCCUGCCCUAACAGCAGCCCCUCAAUAACUCUGGGCAACACAAGAAUCUGGUUUGAAAAUCAGUCUUCUAUUCCAGUGCUUCCUAGUGUCCAUCAUUUCAUGGAGCAGUAAAUUCCACCUUCCAAAAAUUAGGGUUGUUGGGGGGCUGACCUAGGGUUGCCAACUUUCUUCCCAUUAGUUAUGGCAGGCAUGCCUAGCUGCUCACUCAGUAACCAUUUCCUACUCCUCUAUCCCUUUCUUUCUUAGUUUUGUUUGAGGGGCUCAGGUACCCUGUCCUGGGCAAUUAAUCACCAUUAGUAAACCUGACACGGUAAUCUCAUUCCCUCUGCCAGAUUCUUGAUUUCCUAGACUUCCUUGCAGCUAAGGGUGUCCUUGUGACCCAGUUUAGCCAAUGAGAUACAUGAGGAAGGGAAAGAAUCAUUGGUUCCAUUUCACCCUCCCUCUUCCUACCUUGAACAUGAACACUAUGCCAAGAACAGUGACAGCCAUGGUGGGAUCAUGAAAGAAAGGGCCAGAGAAUCACAGAGACCCCUAUCUGCCUAGUGUUGGUGAGCACUGAUAUUUCCCCAGGGGCAUCUAUCUCCAGACUUCUUUUCAUGUUAAAAAGUAAGCCCCUAUUUGUUUGUGCCAUUGUUAAUUGUAUUUUUUGUUAUUUGCGUCUUGGAAAGAUGAAAUGAGUCAACAUCCAUUAUCAUCACCAAGCCAAAGAAGUUGAGCAGAGAUAAUGUUACAGAAAAAAAAAAGUUUUGUGAACAUUUUGGUGUGGUCUCUGUUUUUCUGAUUUUACUAUAGACUAGCAAAAACAUUUUCAUAGAGCAGCCUUAGCCGAUGGACAAAAAUGCCUGGGAAUUACCAAUCCUUACCACAGCAGCAGAUGGAAUGACUGAAGGGCCAUCCACCAUCAGACUCAUUACACAGGCUGGGCUUCUACUGUGGGACAUUCAGAUUGUUUCCUAUUAUUUCCUGUAUACACAGUGAUGCAAUGAACAUGUAUGAAACUAAAUCUUUGCUCUCAUCUUUACUUUUUCUUUGGAUGAAUUUCUUUGGAUGAAUUCCUAAAAGUGGAAUCUAGCUCAUUUUACCCAAAUGCCUUCCAGAAAGAAAACACCAAGUUAUAUUGUCACCUCCCCAUGGCUGCUUCAUACAGCCAAUUUGGAUUGAUAACAUGUGUUGCCCCAGGAUCCCUUCCCAAACUGCACUUGGGCCAAGGUGGUUGGAGUUGGCUGGCUUCUGCUCCCUACAACCAGGAAUCCUGAUUCACACAUCUGUAUCACCCUUCAGCCCUCCAAGAUCAAAGCCAUUGGCACAUUUACAAGUGGUCACUCCCCAUCGUAAAAUCUUCCCCUGCCCUUCCCAGUUUCCACAGAGGUGGAGAAGAAUAUCAAGCCUUCACUCAACUUCAGCUGUAGAACUUAAAACUGUGGGCCGGGCACGGUGGCUUAUGCCUGUAAUCCCAGCACUUUGGGAGGCCGAGGCAGGUGGAUCAUGAGGUCAGGAGUUCGAGACCAGCCUGGCCAAGAUGGUGAAACACCAUCUCUACUAAAAAAUUAGCUGGGCAUGGUGGCAGGCACCUGUAUUCCCAGCUACUUGGGAGGCCGAAGCAGGAGAAUCGCUUGAACCCGGGAGGCGGAGUUUGCAGUGAGCUGAGAUCACACCACUGCACUCUAGCCUGGGCAACAGACCAAGACUCUGUCUCAAAAAAAAAAAAAAAGAAAACUGUGUCACCAGGGCCUGCCGACAUCCUCAGGUCUAUCACCCACUCCUCACUGGUGCAUCCAGGUGCACGGUGUCAUUUACUGUUCUACAACCACAUCAUGAGCUUUUGUACCUGUUCUCAUCUGUGGGAAGGCAUUUUCCCUCUUUCCAGCUAACUGGUGCUCAUCUUUUAAAAUUCAGCUCAAACGUCACUGCUCCCAGGCAGCCUCCUUGACCUCCUCAAGCUGAGCAAGGGCCUGUGUUUGGACCCCCACCCCCUAUAUAAUGCUUCCCUCUAUAAUGCCAUGACCACACUCAUGUAUCUGUCUCAUUCCCUCACCAGACUCUUAGGUCCUCAAAGGAGGAGAGAGCCAAAGAAGCAGAGCUCCCUUGGAGAGAAGCUCUGUCCUCCCUGCUUGCCACACACACAAACCCUACCCACCCAUCGACUCCUUUUGGAGUCUGACUCGUGGCCUACCUCGUUGCCAGAGAGUGUUGGACUUGGUGCCCAAGGCCUAGAAUUGUGCCUAUGCAGGCACAUCCUUCCCUCUCUGGGCCUGAUCAGAGGAAGAAAUCAAAACGGAAAUUGUCAACCAGCCAUUCCAGCUCUCACAGUGGGUGUCUAAUAAUGGUUGCACCAGACUGGAAGAUGCUUGACAAAUCAUUCUCCCAGAAGUUCUAGCAGGAAGUAGAACUCAAAAGGAUUCAUCUUACAUCCAUUCCUUUUUCUUCUGGCAAAAGUCAUGGUUUUCUUUUUGGGAUUCAGUCCUCUCCUUCCUUCAGCCUGGGAGGGCGAAGGUGGAGUGUUGAUCUCAAGCCAAUCAGAGUUAGGUAUUCCCUGAACCAUGGUGAUUGGUUCAGGUAUGUGGGCCUGUGACAUGAAAGCCCAUCAGAAUUAGGUAUUUCCUGAACUGCAGUGAUUGGUUCAGGUAUAAGGCACAUGAACUGAGAGCCAAUUAGAGUGAAUCCCAAAACUACUGGAAGAUUGACAUUGCUUUGUGUGGAUUUGGAAUCCAGAAGCUGUAGUCACCUAGACUGCUGGAGAAUGAGGUCCACACUGAUGGAUCAAGACAGAGACCAGAUUUUGCCUGGGGUUCUAUUCACUGGGUUUGAAUUGAACCCAGUCGAUUCAUUUUUCCAAUCCUUGCAUCCAGCCUCUUCUGGACUAUUGGUUCUCUCUUCCUCACCUUUCCUCCUUCUUCUCCUCCCUUUUAUUUCUCCAUCUUCUAUCUCUAUUUCUUCCCCCACCCUUGCUUCCCUACCCAUCGUAUUGCAGACGUUUCUGGCUCUGGUCUGUCCAUGUGCACUGGCCUCACUGCUCCCUUGACUCACAGGGGUGGGAAUGGGGUCCUCAGAGGGGCUAGAGGAACAGGUGGCAGAGUGUGCAUGGAAGGGGUGGAGUGACUGGGCAACAGCCAGUGUUCCUGGAAUCUUCUACAGGGCAUUUCUUUAUUCUGGGCUCAUGGCUCAGCUGGUGUCAAGCAUCUUGUUACCAGCUGAGGAGCUUACACAUUGUGCUGGCUCUGUGAGUUUUCUGCAGCAUUGUGGGGGAAAGCCUUCCUCCCUGUCUGCUCCAUUUGCUCGUUACCAGGACUGUUCAAGGGCAACACCAGACACUGAAGGGAGAAUUAAAGGCAACGGUCUCCAUUAUGGUUUUAACAUCCUCCUUGUCAUGUUGAUUGGCAGGGAGCACAGAAGACAGUUAUGCCUCACCUAGAUUCAUACAUCUCCCCACCCAAGCCUGGGCCCAUCAUCUCUUCCUAGAACCGUUGCCCUUCCAGGCUCACCCUUCCACUAGCUUCUUCUAAUUUGGCCUCUAAAUUACUAACAAUGUGCUUUGUCUGAAACAUGUUCUAUUCAGGCCACUUCACGAAUUCAGGGAGUGGAUUAGUUAUAUAUGACCACAUGACAAAUUGCAAACCAUAGUGGCUUAAACUCAAAGUUGACAAACUAAAAUCCUCAGGCCAAAUCUGGCCUGCUGCUUGUUUUUGUAAAUAAAGUUUUGUUGGAACACGGCCACACCUAUUCAUUUAUGUAUCAUCUAUAGCUGCUUUUGCAGAGUUGAAUUAUCGUGACAGAGACAAAAAUACUUCCUUUUAGGCCCUUUAGAGAUAGUUCAUUAACCACUGGCUGUACACAACAACAGUCAUUUACCAAUCUGUCAUGGUUUCUAUGAGUCAAGAAUUUGGGAGCAGCUUGACUAGGUGGUUCUGGCUCAGGACCUUUCAUGAGGUUGCAGUUAGGUAUUGGCUGGGGCUAUGCUCAUCUGAAGGUUUGACUGGGGCUGAAAGAUCCACAUCCAAGGAGACUUACUUACAUAGCUGGACAGUUGAUACUGGCUAUAGGCUGGGUGGGGCCUGUGUUCCUUUUUACAUGGGCCUCAACACAAGACAGCUUAAGUGUCCUCAUGGCAUGGUGACUGCUGUCCUCAGAGUGAGCAGUCUAAGAGAACAAGGUGGAAGCUCAGUGCCCUUAGGAGCUAGAUUCAGAAGUCACACGCUGUCACUUCUGCCAUAUUCUACUGAUCACUCAGGCCAGUUGUAAUUCAAUGUAGAAAAGAUGACACAAAGGAAUAAAUACCAGGAUGUGGGAUAAUUUGGGGCCAUCUUAGAGGCUGGCCACCAUAUGGAAGACAAAAAUCAAUGCUUCCAUGAGCAUUUUGGCUCACAGAUGUGUUUUGUUAGGCUUGUACCAUGCUUUAAGUUGAUAUUUUAAAAUUGUGAGAUUUCACAAAAUAUCUAAAAUAUUUAAAUUAUUCCACAUUUCCACAUGUGACAAUAGGAUGGAAGUGAACAACAACUUCCCUCUUUGCAAGAGACAUAAUUCUUUCUAGUUUACCACAGAUCCCACCAUUCCUGACUGUAUCCUUAAAGGAGAAAAUGAAUUUCAGUGAUUAUUAACAAUUAUCCUUGGGUUGUUUCUUACUGUAAAGAAAUACUUCCCUGAAAGCUCUUCUAUAUCAAAAGACGGCAAAGAAAAGAUACACUAAGAGAAUCUCCCAUUUUAAAAAUAAUCAAGGGGGACCGCAUUUCUUAUUAGGAAAGAAGAAUGUAUCUGUAUAUUUAAUAUGCAUAAAAAAUGUGUGUAUUUUAAACAACCACAACCAAGACUUGUAAAAAUAUUACUGCUUAGCCUGUUGAGGCCGAUCUCCUUCCUGGCAUUAAAGAUCUUCUGUAUUCUGGUCCCUCCAUACCUUAAAGGCAAUAUGGCAUGAGGAUUAAAAGUUCAGAUGCUAGGAUCAGACUGUGUCAGUUCAAGUAUCAGUUCAACCAUUCACUAGUUGUGUCCUCAAUUUUAUCAUCUCAGAAAUGAAAAUCAUAAUAGUACCCAUCUCAGGGGGUUUUAUGGCUACCUUUUCAGCUCCAUUUUAAGCCCUGCCAGUACUCUAGCUACCCGAACACUCCAAACUAUUUUAUCCCUCUGUGUCUGUGCACAUUCUAUUUCCUCUGUCUGCAAUUCACAUGUCCUGCUUCUCUGCUGCAAAGCUCAGUCCACAGUGAGGUGGCUCUUCACCAAACAUGUCUGUAUCUCCCAGACACAGUGUAGGAUACUGCUUAUUGGCCCCCCUGUAGUUGGAUUGAGGUUAUGUGAUAAGAGCUGGUCAAUGAGUUGUGGGUACAAGUAACACAUGUCUCUUCCAGGCUGGAGCAUUUAACAGCAGGUUUGAAACCCUUGAGAAUUCUCUCUUCUUUAGGCCUCAGCAACUGGGCCCUGGAGUAAGGAUGACGAUGAUGGUGUGAGCAGAGCCACAGCCAAACCACGACACGUGUGUUGAGCAAAAUAUCUACCUCUGUGGUUUCAGACUUCAGGGUUGUAACAACAGCAUUAACUGGCUUACACUUACUCCUACAUCUGCUCUCUGCGGCUUUCCUUAAUCCUCCCAAACAUGGCAACAGUACAAACCUCUAUUGACAUAUGAUCCCCUUAUGCCCUGUAUUAAAUAACUGGCUUCUAUGUAUCAUGGUGCCUACAGGCACUGUUCCCUCCUCAGAGUGGCCUUCCCUAAGUACCUAUUGUAAAGAUGAUCUCUUUCUCCUCGCUGGAUGAAUACUCAGUUUAUUUAGUUCUUGGUACUUUAUUCUUAACAGCAAUUGUUUUUAUUUAUUUAAUUCUUGUCUGCCUCUCCCAUUAAACAAUAAACUUAUAGCCCUGGAGCUUAGCUCAGUGUUUGAUCCAGGGAUAUUAGUAAAUGAAUGAUUGAUUGAAUGAAUGAUCAAUGAAAACUGUACAUCCAGUGUUUAGCAUGGUGCCUUGUGAGACUGAGUGAAUGAAUGAAUGAAUGAAUGAAUGCAUGGCCCCUGGUACAACUCAACAACUCACCCACACUUAAUCAUAUUUGCAAGUUUCCUCUCUCAGGCCACAUCACAACUUGAAAGGCUGCAGAAGGCCCAGUGUAAGGGGCUGUAGCUGCUGCCUUUAUGUUUUCCCCCUUUUCUGCAAAAUGUUCUGUGAUCGUUUAAAGCCAGGAAGCAAAAUCAAAGGGCCCUGAAUUCAAAGAUGCUAAUUACCUUUCAAAGAGUUCCCCUUGGCUUUAGCCACAUGAUUCCUGUCAGAGGCUGUGGGAGUUUGUGGUUCCUGUGCUGAGCUUUGAAACAGGGAGGGAUUAAUGGGGCUUGAUUAAACCACAAAUGUCAGGAAGUGCAGAGGGCAGCUAGGAAUGCUGGCCACCUCUGUCCUGGAAUAGGAGGAACGACCACUGACCUCCCCUCCCCACACUGGGCUUGAUCUUCUGAUAAAGGGGCUGAAGGGGGAGGCAUCUUCUUCCCCCUCCUCUCAAGGGUGCCAUUUUCAUGCCUAUGAUGAUGCUCAUGUACAUGGAAAUGAGUGAUGUGCUAAUGAGAAUUUAGUUUUGCUUUUGUUAAAGCAACCCCUAAGGAGGCGUAAUAAGAAACCUGCCUACUAAUUUUCAGUGGCCUGACAUCAUAACAGCAACCUCCUCGGCUGCACAAAAAGAGGUUUGUGCUAAAAUAGUGAGAGAAAUGACAGUAAUAGGUACCGGUUCACUGAGCACCUAUCUUAGUACUAGGCACUGAGCUCAUUGCUUUAUAUGGUGAACUUUAUUUCAUCCUCAUAUCUGCCCUGGGGGAGAUGCGGGCUUUCAUUAACCCCAUUUUACAGAAGAGGAAAUUGAGGCUCAGAGAGGUAGAAGUGACAGACCAAAAGUUAACCCUGGGUCUCUCUCACUUCAGAACCAGAACCAUUCUCCCUUGCUCACUCUGUUGGUGAAUUCUAAGGGCCCAUGUCCCUGAUAUUCUCAGAUGAAUGAUUCUGUAGAAAACAUAAAGACAGAUAAGAGAAGUGGAGAGUCAUGCUGGAGAAGUUCAUACCAAUCGUGGUGAAUCCUUAUCUCGUUUUUGAGACCACCCUGGGCCUAAAUCAUACACUAUUUUAUUAAUUCCCCCCAACUACUGAGAAAGAAACCGGUAACACUUCCUGUCAGGAAGCUUUUUAGCUACGAGAAGCUAGAACUGAUCUCAGUGAGGAAGACGCUUUGGAUAUGCUUGCCCCAUAUCAGCCCUAACCCUUCCUUGCCUGUCUUCAUUAAGGAGGCUGGAAAAGUUGAAUAUCCACUUUACUGCCAGAAGUGGCCACAUGGCCAAUUCCAGCCAAUGAGAAAUGAGUGGAAGCCUCUACUUUCCUGAUAAGAGAAACAGACAUUGCUUGCAGCAGCCUUCCCUACCUCCUCCUCCUGCCUGGAAUAUGAUGUGAUGCCUGAACUGUGGCAGCCAUCCUGUAUUCAGAAGGAGAGGCCAAGAAAAUCACAGACAUUGCUGAGCCUGUGAUGACUAGCAUCACAGUCACUGUCAACCUCUAGAUUUUUUGAAAAUGAGAAGGAUAAAAUUUCUAUUUAUUUAAGCCUAUGUUAGCUAGAUUUUUUACUGCUUGAAAUAAAAAACACCUUAAUGGGUAUAGCCUUUUUCAGUAUGUCUCUUAUUAGAGUGAGGAAAUUCCCCCAUAUGCCCCUUUCUUGCCUAUUCCUCUCACAUCUCUGUCCAGAACUUGGUCCAAUGUCUCUUACUAAGCUAAUUGCUAGUCAGGGAAAGGAACCAACAUGGUUGGCUUAGACCAACAUGGUUCUUAAACUUGAAGUACAUCAUUGUCUUACGUGGGGGGCUUGUUAAAGUCCAGAUUUCUGAUUCCUAUCUCCAGAGUUUCUGAUUUAGUAGGUCUGAGAGGGUAUCUGAAAAUUUGCAUCUCAGGGAAAUGUUCUGCUCCACUAUCUAUACACGUAAUAUCAGAGAAAGUUUGCUGGGGGAAAAGUAAUCAAGGGAGGCUUCUUGGACGAGGGAUCAUAAGUUAAGACUUAAAGCUUAAGGAUGGAAAAGAUGUGUUAGGAUGGUGGCAGGAAGGAAUGCCCUUAGUGAGAAACAAAUGGCCAAAAAGAUGGUAAGUGGAAAAUGAGGAGGUGUGGUGUGGAGUAAAAUGGAGAGGAUUGGAUUGGGUAGGUACUGUGGUUUCAACUGAUGAAGGGCUUUCAUCAUUAGCUCCAGAAUCCAGGAGUUGAUUUUGGAGGCAAGAGGAAGGUAGGUUAAGAGCUUGGUCUUUAUUGCCAGACUUGUGAUUCAAGUCCUGGCUCCAUCAUUCAUUUAUUCAUUCAUUUAUAUUUUUGCUGUGGUUUUUCUGAGCAAGUCAAUUUCUCUCUCCUAGCCUUUAUUUUCUCUCAGAUAUAAAAUGGGAACUGAUGAUGCCUCUCUCAGAGGGGUCAUUAUAGGAUUUAAAUAAUACAUGCACCUAGUGCUAAAUCCAUGAUAGCUGAGAGAAAAAUACUCAUUUUGAGAAAAACCUGUAUCCUCAUCUCUCAUGACAUGUUAAUUGGUGGGCUGAGGUUCAUCACCAAAUAACUUCAAGAAAUACUGAGUUAGUAAAGGUUUCUUUACUGUAGGACUUUGCAGAGACUUUAAUAUGCUAAUAUGAGGGAUGAAUCUCAUGAGAAAGACAGUGACCUGCAGCAUUUCCCCAAGCUUGUUUUGCUCACAAAAUGCUUUUUUAAAAAUAUAAAUUAUUGUAAACAUUUUUGGGAAUGCUCAUGUUUAGCAGAACAAUGAGAAACCAAUGUAAAGCAUCUAGGUACUAUUUUACAAAAAGUUUUCAUUUAUGUUUUAAUGAAGCAUAAAAAUGGCAGCAUUUUGUCAAUUCAUUAGGUUAUACUUCUGUGUUAGUCAGUUUCCCUAAGUUAUGCUGGCAUAACUAAUAACCGUCAAAUCUCCCUGGCUUACAACAACAAAUAUUUAUUUCUUAUUCACCUUACACUCAGGACUGGCUGCAGCUCUGGCCAAAUCCUCUUCUUCCUGGGACCCAGCUGAUAAAACAACCCUAUUUGGAAUACACUAUUCUGGUGGAAGGCAGAGAAAAGCCACAGUGGAAACGUGGUGGCUCUUAAGGCUUCUGCUUAGAAGUGGCAUUACCUCACUCAGGUCAUAUAUCAUUGGCCAAAGUAAGUCACAUGUCCAGGCCUGAUGUCAAUGGCACAGGAAGUAUAAUUCUCUUAUAGGGAGCAAGAGAGAGCUUUGGGAACUAAAAAUACGGUCCAUUCUGUUGUUAAAAGAAAAACUUUAGACAAAUUAAAUUUAGCAGAGUUUAUUUGGGCAAAAAAGUGAUUCAUGAAUUGGGCAGUACUCAGAGCUAGAAGAGGUUCAGAGAGCUCCACUUUAGCAGUUGAGCUGCAGGCUUUUAUAGGGUGAAUGUGGAAGCAAAGCAAAGACAUUGCUUGACUGGCUACAAGUAGGUGUUUGCCUUAUUUGGGCACGAUCUGGUGGAAAGUCCCUAGAGGUUAGUUGGCGGUUUCAAAUUAGCUAAGUCUCCAGGAUCAUUUUACGGUUUACAUUAGGCUUUGAUUUGCUUACAUAGGAACCCAAAGCACUGGAGCUAUCUCAGCAUAAUGGCACCUCAACUUAAAAAUAUUAACACUGUCAUUUUGAAAAUAGCCACCCUGUUUUAAAAUACUGCCUAAUUUGCAUUGUUCAUUAAUUUAGUUUUGUCUAAAAUUGGAUUAUAUUGUAAAUUAAAUAGCGAAGAAAAUGAUCAUAUUUAUAAUAUUGAGACAUCUCAUCCAUGAAUUUGCCAUAUUUCACCAUUUACUUAGGCCUUCAUGUCCCUCAAUACAGUUUUCUUUUCUUUUCUUGGUACCUCACAGUUUAUGAAGUAUAUUUAAUUCUCCAGAAACUCUCUAAGUUGCUAAGUUGCUAUUUUGAUUAUUCUCUCAUUUUUUUCUUUUUUUUUUUUUUGAGACAGGGUCUCACUCUGUCACCCAGGCCAGAGUGCAGUGGCGUGAUCUCGGCUCACUGCAGCCUCUGCCUCCUGGGUUCAAGUGAUUCUUGUGCCUCAGCCUCCUGAGUAGCUGGGACUACAGGCACGCACCACCAUGCCCAGCUAAGUUUUGUAUUUUUAGUAGAGAUGGGGUUUCACCAUGUUGCCUAAGCUGGUCUUGAAAUCCUGACCUCAAAUGAUCUGCCCACCUAGGGCUCCCAAAGUGCUGGGAUUACAGGAGUGAGCCACCAUGCCCAGCCGAUUAUUAUUAUUUGAUAAAUGAAGAAAUUGUGGUUUACAGAGAGCCCAAGUCCAUUUUACUUCUAAAUAAAGCUUAGGUCCAAGGGCUGAUUCAGGUGCGUGUGACAAAACCAAUCAAAGUGUUUUUCAAAACUGAGAAACCCAGACAUGGCUGAAUCUGUAGGAUCUUAUUGGUGUCCUAGGUGCACUCUUCCUACCUUUAUCUCUCAGCUUGGGUGUCUUGUUUGUUCACGUCAUUCUCAAGCAGAUAUUCCCCAUAUGACAAAAGGAUAGUUGUCAGAGGUUCAUUGCCAUUGGCAACCCUAGAGAAAACCUGAGACUGUCUUUCCCCGAGCAUCCAUGUCAAUCCCUGAGAAGGACUCUAAUUGGUCAGCCUGGCCUGGUGCUCACUCUUGCAUAGGACCACAUGAUUGACAGCCCCAUUAAAAUCAUUUGGAGAGGUAGGGGGAGAGUUCCCUAAAGGGAACGAAGGGCUGAAGGAGAAUGAUGCUAGGUGGCCAGAAUGAAUGGCAGAUGCCCACUGUAUCGUGCAGUCCCCACUGCCCUUCACUGGGGUGUGGAGGGAGGAGGCUUGCAUCCUGUGUUGGCUUUGCUAGUAGUAAUUUUGUCAUAUUGUAACUCACUUCUGCCUAACCUACCUCCUCCAGUCUAAGCAAGCUGGUCUUCUCUUGUCCUGCUCACUUGCACUUUGAAGCCAAUUCCCCAGUUCCACCUAGUAUGAAACCACCCAUUUUCCUGGGUGUCCCUGGCAAGUUUUGGAUUUUCCGUGAAACUCAGUUUUUUCAUCUCUUAAACUGGAAUAAUUGCUUCACAGGGUCAUUGUGUGUAUUACAUAAAAGUGCAUUGGCUAUCCUUGUUUCCCUUGCAUAUUCUUUCCUGUGCACUCUUCUAGGGAUCACCUCUGAGACAGUGAUGCGUAAGGAAGGUAUUUCCAACUUGGGAACACUUGGGCCCAUCAGAGGCACUUAUGACAGAUUGCCUGGUGUCUUAGUCUGUUCAUGUUGCUUGAACAAACUACCAUAGACUGGCUAUCUUAUAAAUAAAUAAUAGAAAUUUAUUUCUCAUAGUUCUAGAGGUUGGAAGCCCAAGAUUAAGGCACUGGCAGAUUUGGUGUCUGGUGAGGGCCUUCUUCCUUGUUCAUAGUCUUCUUACUGUGUCCUCACAUGGCAGAAGGGACAAGAGAUCUCCCUGGGACCUCUUUCAUAAGGGCACUAACCCCAUUUAUAAGGGCUUUAUCUCCCAAAGGGCUCAUUUCCACACACCAUCACAUUGGAGAUUAGGUUUCAACAUAUGAAUUUUGGAUGGACACAUUGAGUCUAUGGCACCUAGAAAAAGAGUGAGAUCAGCCCUUUAGGUGCAAGGACUUAAAAAAAUGUCCUCCUAGAGAGGAAGAAGAAGGGACCAUGGUUGGGGCUUUGGGUCCCUGAGGAAGAGGAUGACUCAGCCAUGGCGAAGAUGUGUUUUGGGGUCAGGCUGUAGCUUGGGAUGGGCCCAUGUCUGUGGUCAGGGGAGAGGAAGGCUGUGAGCAGGCAGAAUGCUGGUGUCUGGACCAGCAGUCCCACAUGGCCGUUUGCUCCAGUGGCAGCCCACCCAGGCAGGCACCCUCUGUCUUGGCCCCAUACCCAUAUACAUAUUCUGGGGAUGUUGCUACCUCACUUCACUAUGUGAGCUGGGCCAUAGUCUACUUCCACCCUUCAGAGAUGCUGCCAGCAAUGUUCUGGCCAAAUCCAGCCUGCAGACCCAUUUGGUGUGGCCCACACAGUGUGUGGUGCUUUUAUAAAUGGCUGCAAAUUCAUUGAUGCUCUUCCAUCAAGAGGUGAAGUCUGUGCUCCCCUUCCCUUGGAUCUGGGUGGGUAUGUGGCUGCUUGACCAGUAGAGUAUGGUAGAAGUGACACUAUGGAACUGAAGCCAGGCCAUAAAAGGCCAUGCAGCUUUCAUCUGCAGCUCCCACGCUCAGGACACUUCGUCUCAGAACACAGCCACCAUGCUGUGGGAAGCUCAGACCACAUGGAGAAGCCAUGUGUAGGUGCCCCAGUGGACAGUCCCAGCCGAGUCCAGCCUUUGAGUCAUCCCAGCCCAGAGAGCAGAUAUCUGAGUAGAGAAGCCUCUCGAUGAUUCUAGCUCCAGCUAUUUGAAUCUUCCCAGCUGAAGCCCCACACACCAUGGAGCUGAGUGAAGCCGUCCCCACUUGCCCUGUCCAAACUUGACACGAAGAAUCCAUGGACAUCAUAAAAUGGUUGCUUGAUGUCACUAAAUCUGGGGUGAUUUGUUACAUGGAAAUAUUAACUGGAAAAUAGUGCUUCUAAAAUCUGAUUUUCAUGCCAACAUUUAAAGUUGGGAGCUUUCACAUGCAAACCUGAAUUUCUGACUUUGAAUGAAAAAUAAAAUAAAUCUGGCUAUACUGGGUUUUCAUCCUUGUUUAGCAAAAAUUAGUCAGAGUUACCCCCUUGAGAAGGGAUAUAGAUGGCCUGUCUGCUUUGGCCCCCACCUGGCCACCUCUGCUUGUUUAAGUCACAGGGGUCAGGCUACUUGCCUGGUCCCUGUAGGCAUGUGGCUAUGUUGGCCCUAAGCCAGAACCAUCCUGUCACCUCUUGGGAUGCCCAAGUUCUCAGAGCCUUUCCUCUCCUUGAUGACUUAGACAUCCCUGACCUCUGUGGGUGCCCCCCUUUCAUCCCUGGAGCUACAUAAACCUACAAAACCAUGCCAGGUUCUAUCCUUCUCUUUGCUUAGAAAACUGCUUAUGUGAAACAAAAACCAGCCAGGGCCCUGAGGUGGUGAUGGCCAUGUCUGGAGCUUGCUUGUCCCUGUAAACAAUUUCCUUGUGAUAAUCUUUUCACUUAUCCUCCCAAGCUGGAACUGCUGUGUGAAAUCAAGCCGGGUGCCGUUGGCUUAUCCUGUACAUCUUGGAGUCAUUAAGAUCUGGCUUUAUAUUUUAGGGUGAGUUGUCCAGAGCCACUGAGGCCAGGAAUUCUAGGAUCCUUAACACGUGUCAUGGUAUUAUAGGAACUUAGAAACAAGUCCAGGACAGAUCUUAUAAACAGCAAGACUUAAAAAUCAAUCUAUCUUAACACCAAAUAUAGAUGAGCCAGGUACAAAUUCCAGUGAAUAUCUUUCUUUAUUUUUCCUAUACAAACCAUUUAUUUUUUAAGCUUCCAUUCAUGCAGCUAGCA